UACGUAGGGGGCAAGCGUUGUCCGGAUUAUUGGGCGUAAAGAGCGUGUAGGCGGCUUGGAAGGUCAGCUGUGAAAACUCGAGGCUCAACCUCGAGACGUCGGUUGAAACCACCUGGCUAGAGUCCGGAAGAGGAGAGUGGAAUUCCUGGUGUAGCGGUGGAAUGCGCAGAUAUCAGGAGGAACACCAAUAGCGAAGGCAGCUCGCUGGGACGGUACUGACGCUGAGGCACGAAAGCGUGGGAGCAACAG
rnacentral:rRNA from 1 species